GAGCCGAGAUCGCCCGAAUGCUCCGAUCCCCCGAUAGCUCCGUUUGACAUCGUCUGUUGUGUACCUACUUUCGUGUCUAACCUACGUAUAUACGCACUUUACCGUAUAUACCCUUUAUUAUGUGAUUAUUUUCUGUAGUGAUUAUACUCACGAUUUUCUGUUUCGAAUAUGUAUUUACAAAGGCACACGAACAGCUCACGAGACGUAGUUUCCUUCUCUUCGCGUCCUCCUACAAGCACUUCAGUUUAAAAGUGGAGGCUUGCGAAGAAAUUAUCACAGCGUAAAAUCGAAGAAAAGAGGCUAAACCUACGCGAUAAGAGGUUUACUUACAAAGGUAGAGCGAUACCGUGGAACGAGCGGCACGGUUUACACCAGAUGCAGCCUCGAAGCGUGCAACUGCACCACCAUGUGCAUUAUGACAAUGCUUUCCUAUCGAUGUUUACUCGGCGAUAACGUUGUUGGGUCUUACGAGUACGAUUCAACACGAUGGCGUACGUGACCGAUAUGUCGAAGGUGUACCACCGUUUGGGUCCAAGGGAAGCUGCAACAGUAUAUAAUACCAAAGGAGACGUACUAAGGACCACAGUUUCGGAAUUUAUCAAGUUCGUGCUUAACGAAGACGAGACCCCCCUCUACAACUGGCACUUACUUGAACCAGGCAAAUAUUUUCAAUCCGAAAGAAAUCUGGGUAUAAAUCAAGAGGAGAAGCUGCAACGACAAGUCGAUGGUUCCGACAUGCCCCCAUACUCGAUUCCACCAAGAUCAUCUGGAAUAAUAAAUAGACUUCCGAAGUUUCGUUGCAGAUUAUUGCGAGCGAGUAUUCAAGCAGUAAUUUAAGUGGAGAUGGUCGAGAGGUAUGCAGCGAGAAAGAGAGAACGGGAGAGAGUGUCUGAGGGGUGAAAGUUAUUGAGCCACGAUCGGUUAGAAAAUCAGAUAUGCCGGAGAGUUUCGCUCCUGGGAGGAAGUGGCCCAGCCGGAUGUUUACUUGAAACUCCAACCGCAUCUACGACGGAGCUAAGUGAAGUAAGGUGGGCCGGAAGCUUCUUAAGUAAAACCAUCCCCAUCGUUCUCUCUCCUUUCUUCCUCGAAUCGAAUCAACCCAUUCUGGUGGCGCAUAAAUCCCGCGGAUGGCGUCCCGGAGAUUUGUUUUCUCGUCGUACUUCACGCCUGGACGAGAAUAACGAAGAUUAAUCCCGAUAUUCGUCACAGUUCCUACCGUCGAGGAUAUCCUUACGUUUCGUCGAGUCUGAUCCUCGUCCACGUUGUUCAAGAAAGACGUCGGUGAAUCAUCGAUCAAUCGAUAACAAGGUGAUUGAUUUAAAUUAGAAGAGAUCAUCUAGGAAGUUAAAGGAUGAAUGAAGGCUGGAAGAAAUAAUUCGUAGAAGUUCUUGAACGCCCAGCGUGAAUUGUACGUAGCCAGGGGCGAAACCCACGGCAGCUAGGCAUUCCAAGAAGAAAAUCCAAUAAUACACCGGUAAGUAGUAACAAUGAUUCUCUUUCUGGCCGGCUACGAUUGUUUCGAUUUCAUUGAGGCGUCCAUUGAGACGGGGAUCGAAUGAAACGGGUCAUUGGGUUGAAACAAGAUUGGGAAACAGUGGAGAAAGGCGGGCUGGAUAUUUCAUUGUGAGCCUCGAAACUUCGCCGGUCCCGUAGAAAUUCGUUAAUUAUCAUCGUCCGUGAAACGUCGCUAAUUACUCUUCGCUAUUGUUUCGCUACAAUCCGGCAUCGGGUUAGAAAGAAACUGCUGCUGACCUGCGAUAGCGUAUCUCUGUUCUCUCUUUUCCUUCCCCCGCAAUUUUCCUCCAUAAUCGCCGGCUACAUAAUUAUCUCGUUGCGACGUUUCGCGACACGGAAAAGCGCAGUGUAUCCCGUCAGAUUUAUUUAGCACUCCCGCCUCAUCCAGUAUUCUUUUUGAGAAAAUCCGCAACGAAUCCAAGCCGAUACACGCGUUUUCUACCAUCUGAUUAUUAAUUUCUCCCUUGCAUCUCGUGUUCGUUUAUCGAGACUGUCCGCGUGAAUAAUGACGUGACGGGACGCGACACGAAUGUCAGUGUCCUUGGUGGGCAGGAAGGUAAACGGGGCGAAGAGGAACCGUGAAAAAUAGAAGACGGUACCGGUUAAAAUGGUCGAGCAACAUUAUAUCGUGCAACACGGCCGUGACAUAAACGCGACUGUCGGUAUUUCCAAUGCUAUGUAUGCUAGAGAGGUCUGCUUCGUCGUCGCAUGGUAAAUUUUUCAUUACUCCCUGACGCUUUCUACGUGCGAGAAAAUGACGGGGGCACUCGCGUAUGAAAUUGAAAUACGUCUGCCGAUCGAACGGCCGAUCCAUUUUCCGGGCUACGCUCGAGGGCCCGGCCGAGGCGAAGCUUCGCGACGCCGACGCCGACGCCACGUAAAAAUGACAUUGGAUCACUAGUUUUCAUUGCAUUCGGCAUCGACACUUUCCCUGUGCACGCUCUUGGCUAGCCAUUCGCGAUCAUUCUCGUAGAAAGUAGCUGAUAUUUUUUAUAGAAACAUGUCUUGUGGAUAAAAUAGAAAAAGAUCGGUUCGAAAGGUCGGUUCGCGAAAACGUUGCCACGUGCAUGCGAGAUUAAGUUGGAAAAUAAGGUAUUUUCUUGGAAAGGGUUUCUUGCUGAAGAUUGAUAUCGCGUUCGGAAGUUUGUUCGGAAGCGUGAACGUGAAGGCUCGACCGCGCCGGCUUCUAUUUUCAUUCACGUUUCCUGUAUUUCGCACGAAAUUGAAACGUCGAAACGCGCGCCGUUCACCGGAUAUGAUUUAUAUCGAGCAUUUAUGGAGUCUGGAGGUUUCUGAUCGUUUCUUUACAAGUUGCAGCUUAAAAAAGAACGAAGGUAAAGCUUUCUUCGAUUCUUUCUUCGAUACUUUUGGUUAUAACUCGUGUUACCUUGCGCUCGUUUUGCUCCCUUUCACCUGAUCGUACAUCUUUCAUCGCGCGGAUGAUUUCGUCUUCGUUUUCCGAUUUACAUGCUUCUGAUAGGAAUCGUUUCCUCGAACGUUUCCGAGCGUAGAGGCCAGCAUUUCGGCAGAGAGUCCACUGUCUUCGUGGGUUCGACGAGUAAAAUCAGGCCACGAACGGUUACGAGCAGAUUUCCACGAGAUAGUCGGUCGUCCUCCUCUUUUUCCAGCUUUCCUCUUUCGCUCAAUUUCAUCUAACGGCCUUGCUCACGUCGAGAAUUACUUCCUGGGAAUCUUCGAAAAUGAUGACCCCCACGGAAUUCCGAGGGAAAGCUUCGACUCGGCGAAGCGGUAUCGCUCGGAUUCUCUUCCACCUUCGUUCGAUUAACACGCCGCAUUUAAUUUCGUCCAGGUUUCUCGUUUCUUUCAACCGCCCGGCCGACAGGAAACAGCCGGGAACAAUGACAGUUUCGUAGUUUCAGCGACGUUGUUUUGCAUUGGAACUCGAAAAACCCGGACCCUUUCAACGGCCUCGUGUUCCCCAUUAAUUAUUUAUAUUCAAUUAAAAGUUUUUGCUCAUGUUCCAAGAGUGCAGGGUAAACGUUUCGAUUAACUCCACUACCGGCUAAAUAAAAGCCGCCCCCGUUGCUGAAGGGUGCCUUGUGAGCGUAUUAAGCCCAUUGUACUCGUGCUUGCAGCGAAUCGAACGGUAAGAGAGAGAGAAAGAGAGAAAAGAAUGGGUAUUGCGUAAAUACGGGGAACGAGAGUCGUUCAAUCGACGUGCCCUAUGUUAAUCAGAUAGAACCGGUCUGUUUGAACGAUCAAUCUUGUUUGAACGGUAAAAAUGGUGCCAUUUUGACAGAUGAAAGAUUACGUCAAUAUCAUACAAAUUCUAGAUCAUUAAACUAAACGUCCCUAUAUAAAAUAAAUAAUGCUAUAUUUCUAAUUUAAAAAAAAUGAAAAUUAUUUUGCUCUAAAAACUUGAAAAAAUAACGUUAGGUUUAAUCGUUUAACCUUGAGCAGAAUAUAUUUCUUCUCUAGACACUUUUCACUAGGAAUAAAAUAAUUACUUGAGAUGCUAAGUUAUGGUGAGUCACCCUGAACGGUGCACCCUAUUUGAGAAAACAGCGUUCGUGAAGGGAGGCACGUUUCCAUUUUAUCUUCUGCCAUAUCGUUCCAGUCCAGAAAAAGAAGAAUGAUGCUGAUUGUGAGUAAGAAUCACGAAGGGUGGGCGAAACGAAGGGUUAACUCGGAGAUACUUCGAAGUUAAUUGAAUGCUGGAUAAACAAGUCUAGCAGUGUCGUCAAUAACUCGCUAAACGCUCGGUUCUUUAAUUAAAAUGUUACUGCCAGGGAGGAUCUUGUUUUCUAGCUUCCAAGUUAUUUACAUUUUCGUCUACGUAAAAGUGUAAUCUGUUCAUGCUUAAUUACUGAAUAUAUUUUUCUAAUAUAAAA